rnacentral:rRNA from 1 species
CAGCGCGAGAGAGCUUGCUCUCUUGGCGGCGAGUGGCGGACGGGUGAGUAAUAUAUCGGAACGUGCCCAGUAGCGGGGGAUAACUACUCGAAAGAGUGGCUAAUACCGCAUACGCCCUACGGGGGAAAGGGGGGGAUCGCAAGACCUCUCACUAUUGGAGCGGCCGAUAUCGGAUUAGCUAGUUGGUGGGGUAAAGGCUCACCAAGGCAACGAUCCGUAGCUGGUUUGAGAGGACGACCAGCCACACUGGGACUGAGACACGGCCCAGACUCCUACGGGAGGCAGCAGUGGGGAAUUUUGGACAAUGGGGGAAACCCUGAUCCAGCCAUCCCGCGUGUAUGAUGAAGGCCUUCGGGUUGUAAAGUACUUUUGGCAGAGAAGAAAAGGUAUCCCCUAAUACGGGAUACUGCUGACGGUAUCUGCAGA